rnacentral:rRNA from 1 species
GACGAACGCUGGCGGCGUGCUUAACACAUGCAAGUCGAACGGAAAGGCCCUGCUUUUGUGGGGUGCUCGAGUGGCGAACGGGUGAGUAACACGUGAGUAACCUGCCCUUGACUUUGGGAUAACUUCAGGAAACUGGGGCUAAUACCGGCUAGGAGCUCCUGCUGCAUGGUGGGGGUUGGAAAGUUUCGGCGGUUGGGGAUGGACUCGCGGCUUAUCAGCUUGUUGGUGGGGUAGUGGCUUACCAAGGCUUUGACGGGUAGCCGGCCUGAGAGGGUGACCGGCCACAUUGGGACUGCGAUACGGCCCAGACUCCAACGGGAGGCAGCAGUGGGGAAUAUUGCACAAUGGGCGGAAGCCUGAUGCGGCAACGCCGCGUGCGGGAUGACGGCCUUCGGGUUGUAAACCGCUUUCGCCUGUGACGAAGCGUUAGUGACGGUAAUGGGUAAAGAAGCACCGGCUAACUACGUG